GACGAACGCUGGCGGCGUGCCUAAUACAUGCAAGUAGAACGCUGAAGCGAGGAGCUUGCUCUUCUUGGAUGAGUUGCGAACGGGUGAGUAACGCGUAGGUAACCUGCCUUGUAGCGGGGGAUAACUAUUGGAAACGAUAGCUAAUACCGCAUAACAAUGGAUGACACAUGUCGUUUAUUUGAAGGGGGCAUUUUUCCGAUGCAAGCACGGCCUUUCGUUGUAUUGGUUGGUAGGUGAGGUAAUGGCGCACCUAGGGGACGAUACAUAGCGGACGUGGGAGGGUGAUCGGCCACACUGAGAGUGAGACACGGCCCAGACGCCUACGGGAGGCAGCAGUAGGGAAGCGUCGGCAAUGGGGGCAACCCUGACCGAGCUACGCCGCGUGAGUGAAGAAGGUUUUCGGAUCGUAAAGCUCGGUUGUAAGUCAAGAACGGGUGUGAGAGUGGAAAGUUCACACUGUGACGGUAGCUUACCAGAAAGGGACGGCUAACUACGUG
rnacentral:rRNA from 1 species